CAAAUGUAUUUCUCGUUCAGGAAUUGUUCAGCAAAAUAUGGCCAGCACAAGAAAGGAAUGCCAUUGCUAACACCUUCCAUGGUGGAAUUCCAACCACAAUGGCUCAGGAAACAGGCAAUAGAAGGAUGGUUAAGAACCUUCUGCUGAGGUGCCCAGCCGAUCAUCCGUCCUCGAGCAGAAACUCUCUCUUGGAAUCCGUCUGGGUAUCUAUCAUUUGCAUCAGUGGUAAUAUCUGGCCUUACAACCCAUAAAAAUGGUCUGUUGCAGAGUUCUAGUCCAAAUGCCAAUUCUUGAAACUGAACUUGGUCAAGAAUUGUAAAGCUGCCAAAAGCAGCAUAAAGGACAGAGCUCGGUUGCUGCUGGUCUAGCCACUCCAAACAGCUUGAGUCUUCGCGCCAGAAGUGUCCUGCUGAAUUCCCUAGACGGUUGCCAGCCAAAAGUGGUCCUAUUGGCAGAAGUUCCGGAACCACGGUGAAUGCCUCAGACUCGAGCUCAUACGUUGAGUGACACAACUGGAAAUUUACCGCUCUCAUUGCUCUCAUGUUUCUAUCCAGUAAAUCAAAAAUAAUCUUUUGCGUGUUCAAGUCACCAAUAUUUGUCCAAAAACAGUCUCCAGAGUUCAUUUCAGGCAUAUUUGGUGCAAUCCGAAACAUCUGCUUGCUCAUAGGAGUUCCUGAAGUUGAAUACAAACAAAAAAAAUUGCAAUAGCAUAAAAAAAAACUACUACUUUGACAUGCAUCAAAAUUAAAGCCUGCUGGAGGAAAGUCAGGAAUUAAAUGACAUAGAAUCAUACCAUUACUGUCAAUGAUUCCAUCAUCAAUAAGUUUGGGGAUAUGAAAUAGCAAGGCCACUGAUGCUGCUGAUGAAGGCCAAAAGAGAGCCCCCCUGACGUUCAUCUUUUUUGCUACUUCCAUAGACCAAGCCAUGUACCCAUCUGCAAUGAAACAAUCAAGUUUUUCAUCUUCUCUACUGUUGAUAUCUUCUAUGAGCUCCUCCAGCUUCCCCGGCAUAACCUGUAAAACUUUUUCAAAUAGCUUUCCGAAAUCGUUUCUAUCUUCCCAGGGUUCCAUUCCAUCUGGGAUCGAAACCAAACGGAUUUGCUCCCCAAGAUCAUUCUUUCCCUCCAAUGAUUCCAUUAUCCGCUUGUGAUCGUAAUCCGUGUUAACAAAUGUGACUCGGAAGCCCUGUUUCGCCAGACAUUGUGAAAACUCCAGUAAAGGAAUCACAUGGCCUUGCGCUGGAAUAGGCAAUACCAAAACAUGUGGACGGUUCAUUUUCUUUUUUAUUUUUACCUCGCUGAUUUGAUUGUUAUGAACUUGGUGCUUUUAUGGGGAUUGGGAGGGGCAGCUCAGUAGCCCAUGCUGGCUUUUCUGUCUUUCUUUCCGUACAUGUCGUGUAUCAUACGUUUUUAAUUUUGAACCUCAAGCUGGUUAUCUUCUUAUCUCCCGUUUUUAAGUUCUUUGUCCAUCUCUUUGUUUUGUUUCCUUCUGCGGUUUGGGUGAUAUGCUUGUUAAUAAAAUUCGUUUAUUAAAUAGCUUAUAAAUAAAUAGAAUAAUAAAUUAUCUUUUUAAUAGAAUUACUUUUUUGCCAUUAAAAUUCAAAAAAUUUUGUUUAAACAUUUUUAAGGUGUAAGGUUAGUUUUGUAAUUAUGAAAUGAUAAUAAGCCAAAAAUAUUAAUAAUAAUAAAGGUAAAGGCUUCAUCACUCAUCAGCCGACCCUUGCUCCACUCUUCAUUUUCCUACCUCCAUUGUUAUUUCUUUUACUUGAAUUUCAAGGACCUGUUUUUUCAUUCCCCAAACAAAAUGCCAAACGAAACACUCCCAAAAAUCAAAUUGUAAACGCAUAUUUAUUUAUUAAACGAGUGAAAUUUGAAUCUUGAGAUUAUAAUUCGUCUAAUAAACAAAUCAAAUCUAAAUUUAUUAAAUUUUGAUUUGAAUUCUAUUAAACAAUUCAUUUUGCUAUCUCUAGAGUUGAUACGCUUUAUGACCUUUGACCGCGCUAAUGAGCUAUGUUUAGAUAAUUUUUUUUAUUGACUACCCAAAUUAAAAUAUUAGAAAAGUUAUAUUAUUAUAAUUUUAUUUUAUUUUUCAAUGCAAAGAUAUUUUUACAUAACUUCUUGUGUUCACAAAGCAUUUCAAGUGAAGGCUUCUAAAGAUUUUCAAAAGUCAAAAGAUGCAGUUUUCUUUUGCUGCUUUUGUCCGCCACGUGGGAAUUAUUGAUCUCAACGUUUUACAGUUUUCUAUUUAACCCCAAGAUUUAUUUAAAAUCUUUAUGAUAUUACAAAUAUAUUAUUAAAAUACAUAUGAUAAUUUAAAAUUUUAAUAUUAUUUUAAAUGUCAAAAGUAAUUUAAUAUUAUUAGUCUACUAGAUAGAUUAUAUUACUUAUAUUAAAUUUGUGUUAAUUACAAAUUUUUAAAGUCAAUUUUCUAAUUAUUCUAGUUAAAGGGUAUUAUGAGCCAAAAAAAAGAUUUUAAUAUCCCAUUUUUUUUAAAAUUUGGGAGUCUUUUUGAUCAAUUCUCCAAAUUUUAGAAGUGUAAGCGUUAUUUUUCCUUCGGUAAAAUCAAAAUUACAUUAAUUCAAAGCAAUGACCAAUAAAAGUGCAAAAGGCACACAAGAAGCUGCUUACAUUUAACUGAAUAUGGGUUAUACUUUCUCAACCAAAAGAGAAAAAAGGAACCAAGAAAAGAGGGUAAAAAUAAAAAAAUCAUACAUGCCUCAAUUAUUUACUUAUAUAGGAUAACCGAUUUGACUAAUUGCGAAAGUUCACUUGCAUUACUUAAGCAAUUUCUUCAUGAGCAUGUUCCUUUAUAAUAAUGCUAGUAUCUAAACCAGACACUGGGGAUCCCUUCUCACUCGCUUCAUGCAAAUGCCCAGCAGCCAUGUCUCCACCAACAUCACUGAUGUCCCCAAAAAUCACAAUAAGAAUCCCCGAUCGUGGCAGCCAAAAAUGAAACCCCAAAAGCAGUGCUCACAUUUCCACUGAUCGCUGAUGCCACAGCAAAGCCAGUACAAGUUCCUAGUGCUUUUACCCACGAGUGCCAUACAGAAAAAGCACCUUCUUUGCCAUGUGGUAACGGAAACCCAGAAGUUGCAUUCUCACAGCAUCUGCUUUGAUAACAUGUUGUAACGGAUGCAGUAGUGUCAUUGAAGAUGAUGGGAAUAUGAAGUAAAUUAUCCAGAAGUAGAGGAAAAGAAAAAAAAUAACCCCUCAGUGAAAAUGCACAUUGAUGAAAAUGAUGACAUGAAAAUUACAAUCAGGCUUGUAAUUGCAUGAGGAUUUUUAAAAAGGGACAGUGAAUAUGAUUCGGGCAUAGAGGAAGUUGCGUUGGUGAUUGCCCCUGGCUCAGUGCGACAAUAUGGAGCAUGCCAACGAGCCAUUUGAGGACCCUGAAAAUGGACACAACCCAGAGGCUAACAAAUGGGCCCUUUUUGUUCCUAAGCAUAUGGUAAGUGAAUGCUGAGAAAAUGGCAGCGCCUAAGCCACCAGCAGCAGUGGCGUAUACCGAGAACAAGCCAGAGGCCCCUCUUCUAGUUGGGGAUUGGCUAAGUUUAAGUGUUGGUCCAGUGUAGCCGCGAGCCAUAAGGCCAAGAUGGCGAGUGUGGGAGGCUGAAGCAACAAUGUAUAAUGCAACAAUAGCUGCAAUAUAAAAUGGGAAGAUGUAUGGGGUUUUAAUGAAGCCAACAGGGAGACAAAAGAGGGAACCGAUGGCAGUUGCAGCCCUAGCAAUGGUCAAGUUGCUUGGAGAUCAAGCCAAGGAAGGGACUAGCAAGAAUUAGGAAUAUAGCCCAUGAAAUUGAAGUCCAUUCCAUUGCUGAGAGAUUCAGAUUAUUCGUUGAUAUUGAUGUGUGUGUUAGUCAAUCAUACCUGCAAUAUAUGAAUAAUAUUUCAUCCUACUAAACAUGGACACAUGCAAAACUGACCCUCUGUCUAGUUUAACUGGCCAUCAAUGCGCUUUAUAUCCGCGGUCACUCAAGUUUAAGUAAUAAUUAAUAAAGAGCAAGAGUUUGGCUAAUGAAUUAAUUAAAGGAGAAUGAAUGAAACUUUAUUCUCACUAAGGUCUAAGAAGUUGUUUUGGUUCUUUGGGUUCGGAUAAAUUUUAAUAGCAUAAUCAGUAAAUCUCUUAGUAUAAUUAUUUUGUAUAUGAAAAUUUCACAUUUACCUUAAACAAUAUUUUUUUUCUUGUCAAUAUUUUGAGCCAAAUGGUAAUUAAGAGUGAGAAAUUCAUUCUCCCAUAAUAAAAUAAAUAUGCAUAAUUGCAUCUUUUACGUUUUUUACUCUUUUCGUGCUAAGAAUCUUGGAAUCAAUUCGAUCUUUAAUCCAAUUUUUUGUGUAAAUUACACUCAUGCGCUUUGUAUAUAUAGAAUUUUGAUUGAAUAAUCUACUAAGUAAUUAUAGAUGUAGCUAGAAAAAGAACUUACAGUUUGAUCUCUCUGAGAAUACAAGCAAUGCCCCUUGGGGUUUGUCUUCAACCUUGAUCAUCAUCAUCAUCAUCAUUUUUAGAGACAAUUUCACUGAUGAUGAGAGGAAAAACAACGGCACAACCGUUGUAACAAUGAAGUGUCCAAAUUUCAAGCUUCGAUGGCUUUUCUCGCAGCCCUGAGUAGGCCGUAGGCCAUAUAAGCUCCCUCGUGUGCCUCAGGCAUGUCUUCAUUCACUUUCUGAUCCUCUACUGAUACCGAUAUUCCUUCAUCAUCACUUAGAACCUCAUGUUUUCUUUCUGCUGCCACCGCUGCUGCCGGUGCUGCCAUAUUCACAUAUUAGUACCAAUUUGAAGGUUGUUUUGUGAAGUUAAAAAAAGGAGCUGAAUUGGCUGCUGCCAUAUUCAAAUUUGAACGGUGAUUAAUUAAUAUUUGCAUGGGCAGCUGGUGCCGACACUUUCAAGAAUUCAAUUUGCCCGACAUAUAUGUGUAAGCCUCGGUUUGUUCAUAUGUACGAAGGUAUUUCGGUAUCAUUCCUUUUAACUUAUUUGUCUUCUCUCUUUCAUAGCAAUGCCAAUUUUUGCAUCGCACUCUGCUACAGCUCAUGCCGAUCAACAUGUUUCAUGUGAUUUCAAUUUUCCUCAUCCUCUCUUUUGCAUAGAACUGAUCGAAUUCCUAGUGUAGAUUCCUUCAUCUGCAGCAAGGCGUUCUGACCAGUGCUGCAAACAUCCAAGAUCCAUGGGUUAAAGCUUGUUGAACGGGGGGCAAUUGAAGUAUUUUUUUCAACAGAAUCUCAUGAAUCUUGAAGGCAAUUUAAUUCAUGGCCUAAUGAUGAAGUAGAAGCAGCUUGAGAAGUGCUUAAUCUUCUCAAAUGCUCUUCAACUUCUGAAGUCUGUGGGUGCGAUCUUGUGGAAAGUUGUUUCAGCGAGUAUGGUAAGAGGCAGCCAUUGCUUUUGUUGCUGUGAAUUAGAAGACUAGAAGUUGAGAUUACCUUGUCCUCAAAUCUCAAUAUAUAUAGCACGAGAUGAGGAUACAAGAGGUAUCUCAUCCUCUUAAAAUAAAACGAAAGAAUAACAUGAUUUCGAGCUUGAUGUAAAUAUUAUAUCGGCUACUUUUAGGCUUAGUCUCCUCCCACACCAGCAUCCUAUCUCAGUAUUUUUAGCCGCAAAUCUCACUAGUAUCUACACAUAAGCUAAUACUAAAUAAACAAAUGUUUCUGAGUGAUCCAUAAAAUAGGCAAUCCUAUACAAGGAUCGCAGCAAUUCUGUUUCCUCUUCUAAAAUGCAAGAGACGCUAAUCCAGUUUGGCUUGCCUCCCUGUAGGAAACAGAGUGGCUGCUGUGAAACUCGUGUGUCCUUGCAGAAUUGAGGCUGCACCUUGAAUACAUGGAUGGGUAGUUAAGUCUCCAAAUUAAAGCACGCCCAGAAAAGAUCUGCAGUGUUCAUUGCAGGUAAAUUUGGUGCCAAAUGAAUCACUUGCUUCUUAAGAGACUGACUCCUCACACUAUAGUUACGACUAAUAACAUUCAUUGUCUGCUAUGAAAAAAAUUACGUAAAUAGGAAAACAAAUUAAAUUACAACUCAGUUAAAUAAAAUAUUCCUAAACACUAUAAACAUAAUAAAAAAACUUAAAAGACGAAGGUUGUAUUUUUUGAAUUAACCGCCCAUUACCGGGGAAUUAUGUGCCAGGGUGUUUCUUUACCCAUUCAAGGAAAUUCUGAAAUUUCUUGCGAGAGGAACCACCUUCUCUGAUGCAGUUCAUGGCUUUUCCCUUGAGUUUCAAAGCCCUUGUUUCAAAAUCUUGAUCACCGAGCACUUGCUCCACCUUGUUCUUAAUUUCUUCUCUUCCAAUGAUGCCAUUUUCGUUUUUGUCAAACCUCAAUCCCACCUUCCAAAUAUCACAAAUGUAUCUCUCGUUCAGGAAUUGUUCAGCAAAAUAUGGCCAGCACAAGAAAGGAAUGCCAUUGCUGACACCUUCCAUGGUGGAAUUCCAACCACAAUGGCUCAGGAAACAGGCAAUAGAAGGGUGGUUAAGAACCUUCUGCUGAGGUGCCCAGCCGAUCAUCCGUCCUCGAGCAGCAACUCUCUCUUGAAAUCCUUCUGGGUAUCUAUCAUUUGCAUCGGUGGUAAUAUCUGGCCUCACAACCCAUAAAAAUGGUCUGUUGCAAAAUUCUAGUCCCAAUGCUAAUUCUUGAAAC
rnacentral:lncRNA from 1 species